rnacentral:rRNA from 1 species
UACGUAGGUGGCAAGCGUUGUCCGGAUUUAUUGGGUUUAAAGGGUGCGUAGGCGGCCCUGUAAGUCAGUGCUGAAAUAUCCCAGCUUAACUGGGAGGGUGGCAUUGAUACUGCGGGGCUAGAGUACAGAUGAGGUAGGCGGAAUUGACGGUGUAGCGGUGAAAUGCUUAGAUAUCGUCAAGAACACCUAUUGCGAAGGCAGCUAACUAAGCUUUAACUGACGCUGAGGCACGAAAGUGUGGGGAUCAAACAGG